UGAGGGGUAUUAUAAUCAGUGGACAGCCCCUUGCUACAGAGACUGUUAAUGUCAGAGCAACCCUUGCUCCGGUUCGCCAUCCUGGCUCUUCAAAUCCUUCAAGUUCUAAAAAGCCAUCCUCUGGGGCACCCAGAAGGGGAGAGGGUGAAACAAACGUUGUGCACCGUCGGAGGAGCGUGAACAAAGGACAGCAUCGGCAAGUUGCUGCUGUGACUAUUCCAGCCACUCAAACUCAACAACAAUAGAGAAGACCAACUCAGC
rnacentral:lncRNA from 1 species